AGUGAACGCUGGCGGUAGGCCUAACACAUGCAAGUCGAACGGCAGCACAGUAAGAGCUUGCUCUUACGGGUGGCGAGUGGCGGACGGGUGAGGAAUACAUCGGAAUCUACUUUUUCGUGGGGGAUAACGUAGGGAAACUUACGCUAAUACCGCAUACGACCUACGGGUGAAAGCAGGGGAUCUUCGGACCUUGCGCGAUUGAAUGAGCCGAUGUCGGAUUAGCUAGUUGGCGGGGUAAAGGCCCACCAAGGCGACGAUCCGUAGCUGGUCUGAGAGGAUGAUCAGCCACACUGGAGCUGAGACACGGUCCAGACUCCUACGGGAGGCAGCAGUGGGGAAUAUUGGACAAUGGGCGCAAGCCUGAUCCAGCCAUACCGCGUGGGUGAAGAAGGCCCUCGGGUUGUAAAGCCCUUUUGUUGGGAAAGAAAAGCAGCAGGUUAAUACCCCGCUGUUCUGACGGUACCCAAAGAAUAAGCACCGGCUAACUUCGUG
rnacentral:rRNA from 1 species